CUGGCCCUGAAUCAAGGCCGGCAGCUUUCUGGCGCUGUUGGUUUUAAGCAAGAGCCUAAAGAUGUAUUUCUAUGGUCUGUUGGCCAUUUCAGAAUUGGGCAGUAAAAUGCUCAAUUCAUUAGAAAGAAACAGCU
ensembl:snoRNA